UAAUAAAUAGACUAUAUAAUAUAAUAAUUAUUAGUAAAAAAACCUAUAAACUAUGGAUGAAAAUGAGUCAAAUCCAUAGUCUAUCAACUUCCCCAGACUUACUAUUUUGCUUGACCUCAAGCAAAACAAACAUACAGUCUCUCUCAAAGAGGUUUUAAAACAGCAGGGAGUCACAUGAUUUAAAACUUAGAAUCAUCACCUCUACAAUAUUGCAAUCCACAUCUAAGAAAUCCUAAUCACAAAAGCACAUUAUACCAUAUCCUAGC
rnacentral:lncRNA from 1 species